rnacentral:lncRNA from 10 species
CUUGCUCUGUCUUCAGGCAUCUGGAAGAUGUGAGCUGUGGCAGGAGGGCAGGGACUGCAGUCCCCAGCGUCUGCACCGCACCAGGGCUUGGAGAACAGGCCGGGGUGACCCUCGCUCACCUCCUUCCAGAAGAUAAAGAGGGUCCCGCUGAUGAUGAUGGCCGCGGACAUGAGGAUCUUCAGGAUGAGGGCUCUGCUGAGGAUGGUGUCCCGCACACUCCGUGGUGGCUGCCUGAAGGCGUCUUUGUCAACGGGCUCUACCCCCAAGCUGCUCCGAACAAGACACAGACACUUUGAAAUGAACCAGGAAUGAAAUAAAGGACCCUUGAAACAGCUGUGCCUGAGCCUCCCAGGCCAAGUUGGCACAGGGGGCAGGGCCAGGCAUUUGCUGAACGCCCCCAGGCAUCGCACCUGCCCUCCUCGGCACCUUCCAGAAGCCCCAGAGCCUGGGUCCAUGGGCAGCUGUGCCCCUCCAUCUGUCCCGCAGACAGUGAAGGAAGACCACCCCGUAAGGCCAACCACACACAGUUCCAUACACCCAGAUGAUCUCCAUCACCCCGAGGGGACCCCCCCCAACGUUGCGCCUGGAGAAACAGGCUCCAGGCUCCGCCCUCCGCAGAGCCCCUCAUCAGCUGAGAGAGACCAG